AUCCCUCUGGGGAGAUACCGGGAUCCCAAAGGUGGUUUUUCCAGGGUGAGUCUUAUCUAUUUUACUCCAGAAAUGCUGCCCCUGUGAUUUCUUCAAAUGUAGGAAACCCAACUGCAUAAUUUUUGGUAGUGAGAGACUGCAUUUGUGCCCUCCCUGG
rnacentral:snRNA from 1 species